rnacentral:misc_RNA from 1 species
GUUCGGUUUCACUUCUGUGAUAUAUUUACUAAAGAUGUUCACCGGCUAUACUUCGAUGUUUAUAUCGAUUCUUGGCUCCUUGCUAAGGAACAUAAUUCUUGUUUUCUUUUAUUAUACAAUUUGGGGAGUGCGGUUUAUAUGGACUUUGUCACAGCUUUAGCUGUCAGCAAUAAGCUUCGGGUGAGUGUUGGUCCAAGCUCCAUCCCAACUGUUCAACACAAUGUCAUUUUAAAUGGGCUGGAGAUAAUGAAAA